CUCUUUCUGUCUUCUUUCUUUCUCUUUCCUCGAUCUCUCGUUCUCUCUCAUCUCUGGCUCUCAGUCUCAACCAUCGCUGCUCUCCUUCGAAAACCAUCGUCAAUUUGAGCCAAGGACAACCAUCAUAGCCGCCGCCGUCUAUUUCUUGAAUCUACAACAAUGAAGGUUCUCUCUUGCCUUCUCUUUCCUCAAACUCGCAGUCACAUGCAAUCGAAGCCACCACCGGCCAGAUAUCGAAGUCAUCGCCGAGGAUUGCGAUUAAAGGGUGAGCUACUAUGAAGCGUGGUGUGAUUGUGCGUUGGUGUGGAGGCUGCCCAUGUAUUUGAAUUAUGGGUACACGGAGUAUUUGAAUUGUGAGUAUAUAGAGUAUUUGAUACUUGAAAUUUCAGUAGUUUGAUUUGUGGAUGUAUUGUGAAUAUUGUAUUGGUUGUCAUUGAAUUUGAUUUUUUGGGUAUAUAUUUGUUUGGCUAUAUUUUGAUUGA